GAGUAAUGUUUUGACUGGGAUGGAAAAUGGUGUUCAUGAAGGCAGUGUGAAUCACAAGUUAUGCUCGGGAGCAGUUUAUGUGGGUUCAGUGAGAGUGUGCGUCCAUAAGACUGAACCACACCCACGCUAAAUCUGCCAUUAAAGAGCUGAACGAUCAGCCCCUGUCCUCAUUAUUUUGUGGAGGGUCAUAGUGGCACUUGACCUGUGCACACCCUGCGAUCACCACCGUAGAAAUGAACCUCAUAUCAGAAAUCAUCAUAACAGCUGGAACCUUCCAUCUGGAUUGUUGGGCUUGUUGUUGGGGUUCCUACAGAGCUCAGAGUGGACACACCAAGGUGGAGGAUAUGAUGGUAAACAGGACGGUGUGUGUGCUGAGAGAGGAGGAGCUGUGUCCUGAUGAUCCAGAGAGGUUGAAGCAGCAGCAGCUUGUGUGUAGAGACGCUCUGACUGGGCCAUGUUACUGGGAGGUGGAGAGGAGAGCUUCAUCCAGCAGUGACUGACAGAGGAAUGAGAAGAAGUGCAGAUGACUGUCAGUGCUGCAGAGUGAACUGCUCUGAGAACAGCUCCACUGUCAGACACAAUGUAGAGUCCAGCAUCAUCCCUGUGUGUCCCUCUGGAUCUGACAGAGGAUCAUCAGUGUAUCUGGACUGCUCUGCUGCUGCUCUGUCCUUCUACAGUCUCUGCACAGUCUCUGUCUGACUCUGGCUUCAGACCCUCCUGGAUCAAACUCACCUGGAAAGACUUUUAAACAUCACUCAAUAGAUUUGAAUACAGAAUAUAUUUGAUAUAUACUGUAGAUGUACUGUAGAGUUGCAGUUUGUCACUUGUAAAUACAGUCUGUGAGCAGCUAUGAGCUGAAAGAUCUUUCUAGAAACAGGAAAUGUUUUCACUCUUCUGUUGCUUUUUCAUAUAUUUCCACAACAUUAAUAUUGAUCCCACCUGUCUCACCUGUUUCAUGCUUUUAUACAUAAUAACAGGACACGUGUGAUCUGAGCGCUGCUGUGGUUGCUGUGCUGCACGUCUUCAUUUAGAUAACAGAGACAUCUAGUGGUUCAGAGGGAGAACUGCAGGAGGUGGAGCUGUGUUUUAGCAUGGAAAACUUUUUAUCUUUUAGGCGCAGAUACAAAUAUGACAAGUAUCAGUGUGAGAUACAAAAGGUCACAUCAGUCAGCAGAGGGAACUGAUCACACAGCAAUGUAAGAAUAGAAACAUAACAGUGAAUCUGGACAUGUAUACAGAUGGAAGCAAACAAACAGGAUGUAACACUACAUUAAAGCCACAAAUGGGAAGAAAACAAAGCCAAAGGAAAAUAUAUUUGAUCUCAGGAAUCCAAAUCAGAUGCUUUAGAGCAGGGGUCGGCCACCCAGGAGGAGCAGAGACCUGAGGCAGCCGCCGAUCCGAGUGACAGGUGAACUGAACUUCAGGUAAGAAGUUAUGACCUGCAGUCUAUUUGGGACAGAUAUAAACCAAGUUUAGGUGGAGUUUAUUUUCGUUGUACUGACUUUUUACAGUCAGUUACAAUAACUCCCACUCGGAGACCUGUGUCUCUGAGUGGGAGACCAGAGAUCACAUUAACAUGUGUGUCCCUGUAUUAACAAACAUGACAUAUUGGCCCAGUUU
ensembl:lncRNA